UACGUAGGGUCCGAGCGUUAAUCGGAAUUACUGGGCGUAAAGCGUGCGCAGGCGGUUUUGUAAGCCAGAUGUGAAAGCCCCGGGCUUAACCUGGGAAUAGCAUUUGGGACUGCAAGGCUGGAGUACGGCAGAGGGAGGUGGAAUUCCAGGUGUAGCAGUGAAAUGCGUAGAUAUCUGGAGGAACACCGAUGGCGAAGGCAGCCUCCUGGGCUAGUACUGACGCUCAUGCACGAAAGCGUGGGGAGCAAACAGG
rnacentral:rRNA from 1 species